GCCGGUGUGGCUCAGCGGGUAGAGCGUCGGCCUGCAGACUGAAAGGUCCCGGGUUCGAUUCCGGUCAAGGGCA
rnacentral:tRNA from 1 species